rnacentral:tmRNA from 1 species
CCCUUUGCGCCGGACCGGGAAGGCUCCUAUAUUGUUGGGGUCGGCUUGCCGACUAUGGCGCUAAACCCCUUGCGGAAUAAGCGUAGUGGACCCGGGGGCAGUGCCCGGCGCCUCCACCAAUUCCCGCCCCGGCCCGGCAGUGCCGGCGGGGCGGGCUCAUGGGGGCGAAACAGGAUCGACACGCGUGGUAAAGGCUUGGGCUGUUCCCGGCAUGGUUCCGCCGUUAUCGGGCCGUUACUACAAGUGCCAACGACAAUGACAUGGCGCUCGCUGCCGCCUAAACAUCGGUAAGCGCGGUUCGGAGGGCACCGGGCAACAGAAGCCCUCCACU